GUUCAAUCCUCGGUCAGAACGAACCGUCCGGGGACGGUCGUCACCCGGAAGUCGAACCCCCCGGAAGGGGAGUCGGAGACGGGUGAGUAACCGGUGGGUUACUACCGUACCCUACUGUUAAACCCGGGGAACGGUGUCGUUUAACCGUAUACCCCGUUAGGGGGAAAGAUUUAUCGGGGUCCGGGGACCCCGGGUUGGAUUACGUAGUUGGUGGGGUAAACCGGUACCAACGGGACGAUCCAUACGUGGUCUGAGACGGGGAUGACCGACAUUGGGACUGCGACACCCCGGAAACUCCUACGGGACGGACGAGUGGCGAAUAUUGGACACCCGGGGGAACCGUGAUCCACCCCCCGGGGGUGAGUCGGGAAGGUCUUAGGAUUGUAAACGUCUUUCACCGCGGAAGAUACGGACGGUAGUCGGAGAAGAACCCCCGGGUAACUUCGUCCGACGACCCGGGGUUUAACGAACGGGGGUACGGUUGUUCGGUUAUACUCGGGGUAAACCGGACGUACGGGGAUAUUUAAGUCAGGGGUGAUUACCCCGACGUCAACUCGGGAACUCCGUUUGAUACUGGGUAUCUCGAGUCGGGAAGAGGUGAGUGGUUAUCCGAGUGUAGAGGUGAUUAUCGUAGAUAUUCGGAGGAACACCAGCAGGGAACCGGGGUCACUGGUCCAUUACUGACCGUGAGGUCGGCAACGGUGGGGUCGAAACAGGAUUAGAUACCCUGGUAGUCCACCGUGUAAACCGGGACGGUUACCGGUCCGGGACGUUCGUGUUCGGUCCGGGACGUAACCGAUUAAACAUUCCCCGUGGGGAGUACGGUCCGAAGAUUAAAACUCAAAGGUUAUGACCCGCGCGGGGACAACGGGUGGACGAUGUGGUUUUUAUCGAACGAACCCGGAGAACCUUACCACGUCUUGACAUUCGGGGUCCGGGGAGUGGAGACAUUGUCCUUCAGUUCCGGUCCCGGUAGAACAGGUCGUCCCGGGGUGUCGUCACGUCGUGUCGUGACGGGUUGGGUUAAGUCCCCGAACGAGCCGAACCCUCCCCGUUAGUUCCGACGAUUCAGUUCGGGACUCUAAGGGGACUCCGGGUGAUAACCGGAGAGGAAGGUGGGCGGGACGUCAAGUCCUCCCCCGGGUUACCGGGUCGGGCGUCACACGUCGUACACGGGUGUGACAGUCGGGACGGAGACCGCGAGGUCGACGUUUACUCCAAAACCGAUCUCAGUUCGGAUUCGACUCUCGAACUCGAGUCCGGGAAGUUGGUUACCGUAGUUUACCGAGAUCACCCGGGUCGGGUGUUAACGUUCCCCCGGGUUGUACACACCCCCGGUCACACCCGGGGAGUUGGUUUUACCCGAAGGUAGUCCGGUAACCCGAAGGACGGACGUAACCACGGUAGGGUCACGGACUGGGGUGAAGUCGUAACAAGGUACCGGUCUGGGGAACCUCCGGGUGGAACACCUCC
rnacentral:rRNA from 1 species